rnacentral:lncRNA from 10 species
UGAAAAAGGGAGCCUCAAGAGGAUCAUCCAGCAGAUCUGCCACCGUUGGACCUACUGCUUACUGUGGUGGUGGUGUGUCACAUUUCAGGGCAUGCCUUAUGGAGUCAGACUGGAUUCAAAAACAUGGAUAUCCAGCUAUAUGACCUGGGCAGGUACUGAAACCCUUUGCCUAAGCUCUUUUGUGUAUGAAGUGGGGGCAAACAACAAUAGUACUUACCUCCUAGGUUUGUGGUGAGGAUUAAGUAAAUAUAUAUAAAGCAUAUACGGGAGUGCCUAGUGUUUACCACAAACUCAAUAAAUUAUUUGGAUAGCCAAACUUGGGAUUCAUUUCCUUAGGUAUGCUAGAAUGGAAGCCUCUUCAAAGGUGUUUCCACCAUUGAUGAUUGUAUCAUCAAGGGUAAAGAUGCCUUGAUGUGCAACCCCUACUUACUCCACUCUCAACCCACGUGGGCCCUGAGUCUGUCUCAUAGACAACUGCAACCAAGUAAAAGGGGUAGAGUUGAGUAGGAGGUAGCAGUCACACUGAUUCAGAGAUUAAUAUCUCCAGCCAACUCCAAUUCUCUGCCUUCCUUGAGCAGUUCUGUUUACAGGUAUGAGAUCUGGUGUGUCCUGAAUUUUUUACUUCUUUCUCUUCAUUUUAAUCUAAAGCUCUCGCCCAGGUGUUGAGAUGACUGACAAACAGAAUUCCUUAAACAUAGACCAGGCUUGGAAUCUAAUAGAGUUUCUGCCACUGAUCUGGUGCUUUCAGUUUUCCAGCUGGCCUCUGGGUUCUCUGCCCUGGAAUUUAGGAACUGGAAAAUGUAAACAUUGCAUUUCCCUCCCCUUUAAAAUAAAAGAGGAGGGAGGCUGGGCUCUUGUGACUUUCAAAUA